UGACAGUGCAGCCCGGGAGUCGUUCUGCUGCCGUUGGCCAGGUUGAUGUUAUUCCAGGUGGAUCGGACUGGACUUAAGGGCAGCUGGAAUUCUCCUCAGUUGAUGCAGAGUUGAUCUCACACUCAUCUACUUUGAGAUGAUCUUUAUCGGGGAAAUGUCCAAGACUUGUAAAAACAUCUUUGUAAUUUUUUUAAGACCUGUUCAACAACCAGUGACUUCGUGGCCUGCAAAACAUGACAAAUCUCUUCUGGCAUUUUUAGAGUUACUGGUUCAAACUUUAGAUUUACUUCAGCUGAGAAAAGAUUAGCUACAGCUGGACUGAUGCCUCUACAGCACCCUAACUGACCUAUCUAUAAGCAUUGAACUAUUAACUAUAGGACUGUCUGUGAUCCAAUCUCUGGACAGCAAGGACAUGGAUCCUCGGAUUCUGGUGAGCAAAGAUGAGAGCUGUACAGGAAGAAAAAAUUAGGCUGAAAAAAUUCGAAAGAAAAGAAGGAACAAAUAUGUACUGAAGCUUUAAAACAAGAAUAUAAAUA